CAGAGAGAAGCACGAGAUAGAACUUCACUCCACUUUCUACAGAAAACCUGGUUCAAAUCCAGUCUGCACAAUUGGCCCAGCGUCAUCCAGGUAAAUAGUCAUAUGCUGUAAAACGCUCUGGUGACAAACAAACUUUGCUGCCCUGUUUCCAAUCAUCCACUGGUUUGGAGGACCUAUUCAAGUAAGUAAAUACAUUUCGAAAAUGUAAAAAAAAACUAUGUAUUAUUUGCUAACUAUCUACAUUGAAGGAUAACCUAAAUGAGCUGCUAACAUAGCUAGCUAGCUAUCUAGCCAACUUUACAAACUGUAUAGAUAACUAGCUAAGUUAAUUAAAUAUCACCAGCUACCUAAUUUUACAUUAGCUAGCUACCUUGAUGUAUUUAUCACUGUAAAAAAACAACUCCAAAUGCAUUUGUAGGUAGCUAGCUAACAGUCACGGAGGAUGGUAUAAUAGAUAAGUGAAAGAGUAGGCUAUUCUGGAUAGGGCAGGUACUUUUGUGUAGUUCCAGUUCCCAGAAGUGAGGACGGAGUAACAUAACAUUCAGUGAAGUCUAAUUUGAGAAUAGUGAAGUCUGUUUCUUGUGAGGUUUUCUGUCCUCAGAUACAGGGAGCAGUGAAAGCCUGUCUGCAGAUGAAGAGGUCCCAAUGAAGAGCAGUGGUUCUCAGUCCUGGUCCUGGGGAAUCCUUAGUACUACACAGCUGCUUCAAUUGAUCAACUCAUCAAGCUUCAAGUGAUACCUUCAAAUUGAUUGCCUACAGUUACCGUGUAGGACACUGCAAGGUUGGGUGACCAAGGCCAUCUGGGACUACCUCCUGGGAGACUUCGGGUGAGUGAAGGCUACCUGUGUCCUGCAUAACUUCAUGAUGAUGGACACGAGGACCAGUAGGGGAUCUGCAGCUCGCCGCCGUGUCCCAGAGAAGUCAGCUGCUCUGCAGGAGGGGAUCUGCAGCUCGCCGCCGUGUCCCAGAGAAGUCAGCUGCUCUGCAG